rnacentral:lncRNA from 10 species
CUUGACCAGAAAUCAAUGUGUUCAAAGAACUAAAAGAAGAAAUAGAAAAAUCCAUCCUGAAAUUCAUAUGGACUAUCAAGGGACCUUGAAUAAUCAAAACAACCUUGAAAAUGAACAAAGCUGGAGGUCUUACGAUUCCUGACUUCAAAACUUACUACAAAGUUAUGAUGAGCAAAAUGGUGGUACUAGAAUAAAGAAAGACAUAGGGACCAAUAGAAUAGAAUAGAAUAGAAUAGAAUAGAAUAGAAUAGAAUAGAAUAGAAUAGAAUAGAAUAGAAUAGAAUAGAGAGCCCAGAAAUAAACCCUCACAUAUAUGGUCAAAUUAUGUUUUACAAGGGUGCCAAGACCAUUCGAUAGGAAAAGGACAGUCUUUUCAAUGAAUGGUGGUGGGGAAAUUGGAUAUCCACAUACAAAAAGUAAAAUAAAAUAAAAAUUGGAUUCUUAUUUUAUACGAUGUACAAAAAUUAACUCAAAAUAGUCAAAUACCUAAAUACAAGAGCUGUAACUACAAAACUCUUAGAAGGAAGCAUGGGAAAAAGCUUUAUGACAUUGGAUUUGGCAACAGUUUCUUGGAUAGGACACCAAAAGCACAGGCAACAAAAGAAACAAAAAUAGAUUAAUUGGGCUUCAUUCAAAUUAAAAAUUAUUUUGUAUCAAAGAACACUAUCAACAGAGUAAAAAGGGCAAUCCAUGGAAAAGAAGAAAAUAUUUAUAAAUCAUAUCUGAUAAGGGAUUAGUAUACAAGAGGUAUAAAGAACACUUUCAAAUCAAAAAGAAUAACAAAAAGCAACUGGAUUAAAAAAUGAGCAAAGGACUUGCAUAGACAUUUCUCCAAAGAAGAAAAUGGCCAAUAAGCACUUGAAAGAUGCUCAAUAUCACUGAUCAUUAGGGAAAUAUAAAUCAAAACCACAAUGAAAUACCACUUCAUACCCACUAGGAUGACUAUUAUCUAAAAAGCAAAAAAUGGCCUGGGUGCAGUGGUUCAUACCUGUAAUCCCAGCACUUUGGGAGGCUGAGGCGGGUGGAUCACUUGAGGUCAGGAGUUCAAGACCAGCCUGACCAACAUGGUGAAACCUCAUCACUACUAAAAAAAAUGCAAAAAUUACCUGGGCGUGGUGGUGGGCACCUGUAAUUCCAUUUACUUGGGAGGCUGAGGGAGGAGAAUCACUUGAACAUGGGAGGCAGAGGUUGCAGUGAGCUGAGAUCACCCUGCUGCACUCCAGCCUAGGUGACAGAGUGAGACUCUGUCUCAGAAUAAAUAAACAAAUAAAUAAGAAACAGAAAAUAAAAAAUGUUGGUAAGAAUGUGGAGAAAUUGGAACCUUUGUGCAUUGCUGAUGGAAAUGUAAAAUGAUGUACACUGUGGAAAACAAUGUAGCAGUUCCAAAAAAAUUAAACAUAAAAUUACCAUAUGAUCCAUAUAAACAAUGAAUUGAAAGCAGUACUCAACCAGAUGUCUGUACACUCAGGUUCAUAGCAGCAUUUUUCACAAUAGUCAAAAGAUGGGAG